rnacentral:lncRNA from 1 species
CUGCUUUCAGCACUUACUUGAAAAAUGUGGUACCACUUCCUUCUGGUCUCCAUUGUUCCAUAUGAGAAAUCCAAAUGGGUGCUUUCCUAUAAUUAAUGUCUUUUUUCAUUUUGUUCCUUUGGUUUUAAGAUGCUUUUGUCUUUAGUUUUCAGACGUUUGAUUAUGAUGUGUCUUGGCAGGGACUUUAUUCUAUUUGAGGUUCAAUUGGCUUCUUGAAUCUGUAGGUUUAUGUAUUUCACCAAAUUUAGGAAGUUUUCAGCCAUUAUUUCUUCAAGCUCCACGCUUUCAGCCCCACUUUCUUUCUCCUUUCUUUCUGGGAUUCUGAUGAUUCCAGUGUUGGAUCUUUUAUUAUUGCCUCACAGGUCUUGGAAGUUCUACCCAUUCUUUUCAGUCUCUUCUCUCUGCUGCUCAGAUUAUGUAAACUCUAUUGGUCUGUCCUCUACUCCUUCUAUCCUCUGUCAUCUGUCUUCUACUAUUGAGUUAAAUGAUACUUACACAAUAGUGAAUGACACACAGAAGUUAUGAAUAUAAGAAAGAAACAAAGAAACAAAGAAA